rnacentral:rRNA from 1 species
GACGAAUGCUGGCGGCAUGCUUAACACAUGCAAGUCGAACGGUGAAGGGGAGCUUGCUCCCUGGAUCAGUGGCGAACGGGUGAGUAACACGUGGGUAACCUGCCCCUCACUUCGGGAUAACCAUCCGAAAGGCUGGCUAAUACCGGAUACGAAGCCUGGAGGCAUCUCCGGGUUUGGAAAGUUUUUCGGUGAGGGAUGGACCCGCGGCCUAUCAGCUUGUUGGUGAGGUAAGGGCUCACCAAGGCGAAGACGGGAAGCCGGCCUGAGAGGGCGAGCGGCCACGCUGGGACUGGGACACGGACCAGACUCCGACGGGAGGCAGCGGUGGGGAAUAUUGCACAAUGGGCGAAAGCCUGAUGCAGCGACGCCGCGUGGGGGGUGAAGGCCUGCGGGUUGUAAACCUCUUUCAGUAGGGACGAAGCGCAAGUGACGGUACCUAAAGAAGAAGCACCGGCUAACUACGUGCCAGCAGCCGCCGUAA